GGCCGACUCCACACAUGACAGAGCAGUGAAACGAGAAGAGGGAGAGAAACUGGCCAAGGAGUUCGGAGUGCCCUUCAUGGAGACCAGCGCUAAAUCUGGACUGAAUGUGGAGCUGUCCUUCACUGCUGUGGCCAAAGAACUGAAACACCGGACCAUGAAGGAGCCCGACGAGCCAAAGUUUCAGCUUCAGGAGUACGUGGACAAGGAGAUGAGGACGGUGGGCUGCUGCCGCUCGUAGACCACCUCCUAAACAUGAGCUCAGAUGUGUGUUUUUGUGCGACAGUGACAGACUGAUCAGGUACAGUCGACUAAAGCAUCUGUACCUGCAAGGAUUCUCUGACCACGACGAUGGUUUGUAAUAUUUCAGUCGGUAUACUCUCUCUCUCCAACCCACCCAUCCUCUGCAAAUGUGAAUGUAAUAUAACUCUUAUUGUAUCUACAUGCUUGUGCGUACAUGUACACACACACACACACACACACA